AUCAACGAAUCCUAACAAAAUUCCGUCUGGAAUUUGCCCUAAGCAAUAUCCGAUUCGUCUCGAGUCUCGUCUCAACAAAAAGGAAUUAAUCUCCCGGAGGUCUCCUCGUCCCCUUCCCCGCCGCGAGCAGCGCCUCCCAAGUCGCGCCGUCCGGAAACUCGAUCUCAUCGCCGCGUCUUCGGCCGCUACUCCGAUCCGUCGCCAUCGGAUCUCCUCCCCACCUGCACCACCGCCGCCAAUAAGUGCACAUCAUCCCCCAACAAGGUAGACAUUACUUCCAUCCAAGGAUAUGCCUCGACUGGGGGAUCCGGAUGCAGAUUUGAUACGAAGAGUUCUUUGGGAGAUUGGAUAUAUCUACUGCAUCUAUAUUAAUCGGGAUAAGACCUCCCUAUUUUUAUGCUCCCAAAGUUCACGCACACUCUGGCUUGCUACACUAGGAGGAUGUCUUUUUUUGACAUCGAACACUAUAUUUUUAGUACUAGACAAGAUUGAUUCGCCCAAUGCACGGACAUGGAGUAGAAGAAGAUUGUAAGAUAUCUGAUGAUGUAUGCAACUUUUGGUCAUAAACUUGAUAUAUGACAUCAUCAUAUUCUAGCCUAGGAUCUUGAAAUUUGAAGCUUGUGUGUAUACAAAUGUACUCUGCAUAUAAGGCCUUGAUAUAUGCAUAAUAAAUGAAGUUUCAAUUUGAUUGGAUAUA